GACGAACGCUGGCGGCGUGCUUAACACAUGCAAGUCGAACGGACAGGCCCUGCUUUUGUGGGUUGCUCGUGUGGCGAACGGGUGUGUAAAACGUGAGUAUCCCGUACUUGUCUUUGGGGUAACUUCUGGAAACAGGGGCUCAUAUCGCAUAGGAGCUCUUGCAGCACGGUGGGCGUUGGAAAGUUUCGGCGGUUGGGGAUGUACUCGCAGGUUAUCAGCUUGUUGGUGGGGUAGUGGCUUACCAAGGCUUUGACGGGUAGCCGGCCUGAGAGGGUGACCGGCCACAUUGGGACUGAGAUACGGCGCAGACGCCUACGUGAGGCAGCAGUGGGGAAUAUUGCGCAAUGGGCGGAAGCCUGAUGCAGCAGCGCCGCGUGCGGGAUGACGGCCUUCGGGUUAUAAACCACUUUCGCCUGUGACGAAGCGUGAGUGACGGUAAUGAGUAAAGAAGCACCGGCUAACUACGUG
rnacentral:rRNA from 1 species